UUCAUUUCACCUCCUCCGGCGCAGGGAGGACCUGGCGACCCAGGCCAUAAAAGCCUUAAUUGUGGAGAUGGAGCGAUGCCCUGUGAUGACAGCAUGAGAGGGGUGAGGUGAUUGCGCAAUUGCUCUUGUGGCAGGGUCAGAGCGGUAUAUUAGCGGAAGAGGAGGUAUGAUACAGCGACCAUGACCACGCAGGUGUGGUUGAACGCCAAUGAAAGUAAGAGAACGAGUCCAAAAGAACACUUUAGCGGAGAACCGUUGAUAAGCACAUCCUGAUUUGGACACUGAAUUGCUACGACGUAAACAAUGAACGGAUGUCCCGUCUUUGUCUUCCACACAUGGAAACCAAAGCCCAGUGUGAACAGACAGCAGGUGCUGGGCCUUCCUAGAAAUAAACACGCUAAAAGCCAGAACCGGGCCAGAGUCCAGACAGAAGGCAGCUGCUCCCCGAGCUGACCCGCGGUCACUGUGCUAUCGGGUCCCGGUAUUCGUGACCUGCUCGACAGGUACACUUCCACAUUCUAAAAACCUUUUUCGAGUCAAGGCAACGACGGAGACAAAUCAAACGCUGUUACGUCUUGUGGUUUUCUUGGCCGCUAUAAAUAACGCCGGAGAGGAGCUGAACUUCGGAGGGAGCGCCCCGUUGCUGGCCGCCGUGCAAUUCCCUGACCUUCUCCCAAGCGAUCCCACACAGAUUUGUACCACAGAGAUGUGAAUUCAUCUCCUUCUAUAUGGAGACGAAGAUGAAGCCAUCAGGAUGAUAAAUUUGACACGAGACUUUAAAUAGCCGCCAUCGCACGUGACGGAUUAGCAGCUACUGAAAUUGUUAAUGCGGCAGGUAGAACGGUGGCAAUUUGAAGGGUUCAAGCAGAGGCUAGAAGACACACACAAAACACACACACAUACAUGGACAUAAUAUCAAUGUAUAAAUGGAGAAAGUAUUGCCACCAUUUUGAUUUAUUGGCUAAUAAAAGUAUCAGCAAAGUAAAACCUAUAAGGACUAAUGGAAAGUUAUGUUUCUAAUACAAUCUUGAUGAGUAGAUACAAAACCAAGUUUUCAGGUGUUCUCUUGUUGUGCUGCAGCAGGGCUGUGCCAACAUGCUCAUUAAACAUUUAGCGCCAUCUGACAAACAGGGUGUGUGUGUGUGUGUCUGUACUGCGUUGUACUGCCAAACAAGCUUGACGUUAACAUUGAACAAACUUGAUAGAUGGAGGCAAAAGUAUCGAUCCGAACCAUGUUUGUCAAUUUCGACUUCUUACAGCUCCUUGCCUCAAGUCAA